rnacentral:rRNA from 1 species
GAUGAACGCUGGCGGCGUGCCUAAUACAUGCAAGUCGAGCGAACGGACGAGAAGCUUGCUUCUCUGAUGUUAGCGGCGGACGGGUGAGUAACACGUGGAUAACCUACCUAUAAGACUGGGAUAACUUCGGGAAACCGGAGCUAAUACCGGAUAAUAUUUUGAACCGCAUGGUUCAAAAGUGAAAGACGGUCUUGCUGUCACUUAUAGAUGGAUCCGCGCUGCAUUAGCUAGUUGGUAAGGUAAAGGCUUACCAAGGCAACGAUGCAUAGCCGACCUGAGAGGGUGAUCGGCCACACUGGAACUGAGACACGGUCCCGACUCCUACGGGACGCAGCAGUAGGGAACCUUCCGCCAUGGGCGAAAGCCUGACGGAGCAACGCCGCGUGAGUGAUGAAGGUCUUCGGAUCAUAAAACUCUGUUAGUAGGGAAGAACAUAUGUGUAAGUAACUGUGCACAUCUUGACGGUACCUAAUCAGAAAGCCACGGCUAACUACGUG